rnacentral:lncRNA from 1 species
GUGAUACCAAAUUCAAUUGAACGGAAAUUGUAAGGAUUUACCAAUAACGAACGUAUAAUUAUUCAUGAAUUUGCUGAAGCUACAACAAGAAACCGUUUUCAAUUUUGCCUAGUUAAUGCCAUUACACAGCCAUCGAUCGAAUGGAUCCAAUCAAUUUAUAUAGAGAGACCGAAAGAUCAACUCAAGUUUGCUUUAAGCUAUGACACGAUUCCGUUUCUACUCAGAUCUUAGGUUCUAUCGCAGAUCAGAUUGCAGGCAAAUUAAUUGUACCUGUCGACUAUAACGCUUUUCGACUCUGACUCUGACU